UACGAAGGGGGCUAGCGUUGCUCGGAAUCACUGGGCGUAAAGGGCGCGUAGGCGGAUCUUUAAGUCGGAUGUGAAAGCCCCUGGCUCAACUGGGGAAGUGCACCCGAAACUGAGUAGCUUGAGUGCAAAAGAGGGCCGCGGAAUUCCCGGUGUAGAGGUGAAAUUCGUAGAUAUCUGGAGGAACACCGGUGGCGAAGGCGGCAUCCUGGACCACGACUGACGCUGAGUGAGCGAAAGCCAGGGGAGCAAACGGG
rnacentral:rRNA from 1 species